UUUCCUCUUUCCUGCCAACACCAAUGAACAGUGUGAUGGACACUUCCCAUUAACUGUCUCUCCCAAACGCUCUUUUCCCUUUCGGUGCCUUUGAACGGCGUUCCCUCUCCUUUCCACCACAGCAUCCUCUGAUGGCGGUCUCUUUUCACAGCAUCCUUAGACAGCCUCUUUCCCUCUUCACUUUCAUUUAUUUCCAACGUAGCAUUCUUCCGCUCCCUUGCUCAGCACAGAUUGUUCGCAAAGAUAGAUGCCUCCGGUUUGCAUUGAUCCGACGAACGCACGCCUCAGUCCUACUGUUGUAACUGAGGUCGCCCACCUUUUCGCAGCAGCGACCUGUUGUUUGGGAUGCCAACCAGCCAGCCACGCCUUCACUUUGCUGUGAUCACAAGCUUUUCUACUCUAAUUCAGUGGGAUGGCCAGAGCAAGAGCCGGUAACUUCUUACGACCAACUUACGUCUUGUCUCUUACCAUUGUAGAUUUAUGAUUUAAUUUAGUUAAUAGAAUCCUCCUUCUUUUGUGGUAUGACAGACAACCAUGCUUGGGUCCACUAAUUAGAUUGAAAGAAACCUUAUGUUAUGUAUCGAGGAAGAUGUCAACCCAACAAUUUCUUUUUCUUUGAGCUAACAGAUCAGGGUUGUUUAUCAAGUAUCUUCCUGUGAAUGUAUAGAGCAGCGAGCAAGUUAUAUAUGACUUUAAAAAAAAAAAGUGGCUACGGAAAAGGGCCUCUUUGGUUUCCUUUAUCACAGAUUCAACUUGCUGCCUUUAUUUCCAACAAGUUUUGAGUCGUGCAACAAUUAUAAUCAUGAGAAGUACCGAGACUCUCGUAAGAAAUUACUUGCGGCCACUGGUUGACAUGCAUAUCAUUUUAACUUUUGAAAGGAUAAAGCUUAGCAUUAUUUGAAUAAAAGUCAUGUCAAAAAAUACUUUUUUUUCCGGGAGUGCUGAAUGGUUGAUUUCACUUUUUAUUUUUUCAUCGAUUUAAGAUUAUAGAUGCUAGACUCCUUCUAUAAGUUAUAUUGUACAAUUUCGAUAUCAUGUUAUUACUUAAUCGACAAUUUUAGACAUGUACAUAAGCACACUGACGUUGAUUGCAUAUACUGCUCGAAAACUUUUAUCCAAGCAUGAAGCGGAUAAAUGGUUCCCUCGUCCAUGCAGUUGCCGAUGAAGUACACAUUCAUGCAAGUAUAUGUACAUGCAUUUUUUGUACAAAGAAUAAGUGGAUGAUUGGUCGUUGCUUUUCCAUUUCACCAUAGAAUGCUCAAAGUCAAGCAGCUUUUACCUCAAAGUUCGCUAUUGUAUUUUAAGCCCAGAACAGAAACAUGCCCAUGUUAAGAGAAUGAUAGAAUGUCAUAAAGCGGAAACGAAGCUCUGUUGCGAGUUUAGUAACCCGCAUCAAACAUCUUCUGCUAAUGAAGGUACGUGUCUUUACAUCAUCCUCUUUAAAAUAUAGACCCCUUUUGGUAACAUAAGUAGCCGUCUAUCAUUCUUUUAUCGAAUGCAAUAGCUUAAAAGACCUUCUGGAAAUUCGUCACCAUGGACUUCAAUCCAUUGAGGCAUGUUAUUUUCUGGUUUAUAUAUACUCUUGCCCCUUACACAAUUGUUCUGCUUGUCCGCUGAAAAAAUUGCAUAAUUUUGCUUAUAUCCAACAUUUUAUUCGUUGAAGUUAUUUACAAAUUGUUCCUACAGUGAUCCUGACUUAUUGUCAUAUGGAAACUUGAUAGAAAUGGGAACCUCUAUCGCAAUGCCGAGCACAAACUAAUUUCAGAAUUUUUAUUGUAAAUAUUUGGUAUAGAUGCACCUUUUAUUACUUAGUUGUUACAUCCAUGAAACAAAUUUUGUUGCAAAUUCGACUUACAUUCUUUGUCUAUUCAUAGGCAAUGUGAAUAAAUCACUUCUAGUCCGAUCUCCUACCUAAUAUCAGUAACCUUUAACACUAUGAACCAUCACUAAUAUUAAAUUUAUAUUCUCUUUUGGAUGCUCUCUAUAAGUGAGUGAAUGCAUAAUAUUAGCAUUAUGUACAAGAACUUUAUAUUAUAUGUGCAUGACUCUUACAUAGAUGAACCCAAAACGAAAAGUUUAAUAUGCCCAUAUAACGCAUGUAUUCUGUGAGGAUAGAUGAUGAAUCGCAGACCGUAAAGUAUCCUUAAUUAAAGCCAAAGAGCUUUAAGGAUAUUACAUGGAUGGUCAUAAACUGGUUAACUAUGAGUAUGCUUAUAGGUGCUCACAAGAAAAUCUUAUUGAUAAUAAAACUAAGGUUUUCUUUGGUGAAUCACUACUGUACCCUUUGUUGUCUUAGCCCUCUGCAAUAACAAUGAUUGCUCAUAAACUUCAGGUGUUGAAGUUAAGCUUAAAUGCUUGAAAAAAGUUGGCUAGCUUAAAUCUCUGAAGAGCUGCAAAUAUCCUGAUACCAAAGUUGCACUAUGAGUCCAAACUAGCAUGCUGAAUUUCUUUCAUUACAAACUCCUCAGAGGUCAUUUAGUUGCUGAAUGUGUAACCUCAAAAUGCUUUCUAUGCUUUCUAGGUAAGGAUGGGAAUUCUCCCUUUUGAUAUGACUUUGAUUUAGAACUAUUUAAUUGUAUCCUUUGCCUACGAUUUUCGAAUAUUAUUCUGCCUGUCCUGAAAAUUGCCGUAGUUAUGGUCUCCAGCAAGCUCAAUUGGCAAUAUUUGAUGCAACAAAUAGAAUUAUUGAUGCUCUAUUAAAAAUCUAUUCCUAGAAAUAAAUAUACACAAAUUAGAAUGAAGUAUACAUUAUUUGUACAUCAUUGUGGGGUUGCUGAGCCAAUUUUACUUGACGGGGACGAGAUGCAGACAUCUUAGGAGAGCGCGUGGGCAAAAUUGUUGGAAGAAACUACAUGUUCCACCUUAUAGUCGAAGAGGCAUCUGAUUUGCUCCACACAUUGGGAAGGAUCAUUGUUCAAAGUGCCAUUGAUGAAGGGUCAUCGAUCCUCUCAUAUGAAGAGACUGUUUUGUUUGUGAAAUCUUACUGAGACAGCUACAUAUAAUUUUCAGUAGAAUUUUUGGACAUUCGGCUAGCUUAGACGCACUUUAGUGCAAUAAUUAUAUCUGGGAUUUGUCAAAUAAAUUAGCAUCUUAGCUCGCUUUGAAUAUUUAUUUUUGCCAAUGUCAAGUUUCUUCUUA